CAGCCGCCGCGGUAAUACGUAGGUCCCGAGCGUUGUCCGGAUUUAUUGGGCGUAAAGCGAGCGCAGGCGGUUAGAUAAGUCUGAAGUUAAAGGCUGUGGCUUAACCAUAGUACGCUUUGGAAACUGUUUAACUUGAGUGCAAGAGGGGAGAGUGGAAUUCCAUGUGUAGCGGUGAAAUGCGUAGAUAUAUGGAGGAACACCGGUGGCGAAAGCGGCUCUCUGGCUUGUAACUGACGCUGAGGCUCGAAAGCGUGGGGAGCAAACAGGAUUAGAUACCCUGGUAGUCCACGCCGUAAACGAUGAGUGCUAGGUGUUAGACCCUUUCCGGGGUUUAGUGCCGUAGCUAACGCAUUAAGCACUCCGCCUGGGGAGUACGACCGCAAGGUUGAAACUUAAAUGAAUUGACGG
rnacentral:rRNA from 1 species